rnacentral:rRNA from 1 species
GACGGAGGAUGCAAGCGUUAUCCGGAAUGAUUGGGCGUAAAGCGUUCGCAGGUGGUGUAAGUCUGGGGUGGAAUGCUACAGCUCAACUGUAGAGCUGCCUUGGAAACUGCAUUACUUGAGUCGGUGAGGGGAAGGCGGAAUUCCUGGUGUAGCGGUGAAAUGCGUAGAUAUCAGGAGGAAGGUCUGUGGCGAAGGCGGCCUUCUGGCACUUGACUGACGCUGAGGCGCGAAAGCGUGGGGAGCAAACAGG